rnacentral:rRNA from 1 species
AUUGAACGCUGGCGGCAGGCCUAACACAUGCAAGUCGAGCGAGCGGCGGACGGGUGAGUAAUGUCUGGGAAACUGCCUGAUGGAGGGGGAUAACUACUGGAAACGGUAGCUAAUACCGCAUACCAUCAGAUGUGCCUAGAUGGGAUUGGCUGGUAGGUGGGGUAACGGCCCACCUAGGCGACGAUCCCUAGCUGGUCUGAGAGGAUGACCAGCCACACUGGGACUGAGCCGCGGUCCAGAGUCCUACGGGAGGCAGCAGUUGGGAAGAUUGCACAAUGGGCGCAAGCCUGAUGCAGCCAGGCCGCGUGUGUGAAGAAGGCCUUCGGGUUGUAAAACACUUUCAGCGGGGGGGCGUUACCCGCAGAAGAAGCACCGGCUAACUCCGUGCCAGCAGCCGCGGUAAUUC